CCUACGGGUGACAGCAGUGGGGAAUAUUGGGCAAUGGGCGCAAGCCUGAUCCAGCCACGCCGCGUGAAGGAAGAAGGCCCUCGGGUUGUAAACUUCUUUUAACAGGGACGAAGGAAGUGACGGUACUUGUUUUAUACGUCACGGUUAACCACGUGACAGCAGCCGCGGUAAUCCGUAGGUGGCACGCGUUAUCCGGAAUUACUGGGUGUAAAGGGCGUGGAGGCGGGAUAGCAAGUCAGACGUGAAAUUCCGGGGCUCAAACCUGGAACUGCGUUUGAAACUGGUCGUCUUGAGUGAUGGAGAGGCAGGCGGAAUUCCGGGUGUAGCGGUGAAAUGCGUAGAUAUACGGAGGAACACCGGUGGCGAAGGCGGCCUGCUGGACAAAGACUGACGCUGAGGUGCGAAAGCGUGGGGAGCAAACAGGAUUAGAUACCCCAGUAGUC
rnacentral:rRNA from 1 species